GGAGCCCGCCCCGCCUCCGCGCACCUCCCUCCCUCGGUUCAGCAGCCGGUCCAUCCAUCCGUGCACUCUUCCUGGCCCCGCCAUCCAGCCUGGUCCUGGCCGUCCCCCGGAUCUGGGCCUGGAAACCCCGCCUGCCCUCCUUUCUCCUGCUCGUGGAAUCGCUGCAGGGCCCGCCCAGCCCGUGGUCCCGGUCGCAGCAACCCGGUGGCGGCUGCCAGCUCGAGACUCUCCAUGUCCCACAUAAUGCACAUUGGGAAGGCCUCCGACUCCUGAGACAUCUCGCCAAGCUUCCCCGGGCUAUUCCACACCUGGGAUCAGCCGGUGUUCCGGGUGCCUUUGCAGCACGGGCAGCACUAAUUGUGCCCAUCGGUGACUCAGCUCUUGCUCGGCAAACCAGGCUCUGGUGAAGUCCCGAGGGUGCCCUGGAGAGUGGGUGUGCCCUGCAGGCAUUUGGAGUAUCUGAAGCCCACAAUGACAUUUCCGAAUUUCAGUGGAGCAGGAAAGGAG
rnacentral:lncRNA from 1 species